rnacentral:rRNA from 1 species
CCUACGGGAGGCAGCAGUGGGGAAUUUUGGACAAUGGGCGCAAGCCUGAUCCAGCCAUGCCGCGUGCGGGAAGAAGGCCUUCGGGUUGUAAACCGCUUUUGUCAGGGAAGAAAUCCUUUGGGCUAAUACCUCGGAGGGAUGACGGUACCUGAAGAAUAAGCACCGGCUAACUACGUGCCAGCAGCCGCGGUAAUACGUAGGGUGCGAGCGUUAAUCGGAAUUACUGGGCGUAAAGCGUGCGCAGGCGGUUAUGCAAGACAGAUGUGAAAUCCCCGGGCUUAACCUGGGAACUGCAUUUGUGACUGCAUAGCUCGAGUACGGCAGAGGGGGAUGGAAUUCCGCGUGUAGCAGUGAAAUGCGUAGAUAUGCGGAGGAACUCCGAUGGCGAAGGCAAUCCCCUGGGCCUGUACUGACGCUCAUGCACGAAAGCGUGGGGAGCAAACAGGAUUAGAUACCCUGGUAGUCCACGCCCUAAACGAUGUCAACUGGUUGUUGGACGGCUUGCUGUUCAGUAACGAAGCUAACGCGUGAAGUUGACCGCCUGGGGAGUCGGCCGCAAGGUUGAAACUCAAAGGAAUUGACGG